rnacentral:rRNA from 1 species
UAGGGAAUCUUCCGCAAUGGGCGAAAGCCUGACGGAGCAACGCCGCGUGAGUGAAGAAGGAUUUCGGUUCGUAAAGCUCUGUUGUUAGGGAAGAAUGAUUGUAUAGUAACUAUAUACAGUAGAGACGGUACCUAACCAGAAAGCCACGGCUAACUACGUGCCAGCAGCCGCGGUAAUACGUAGGUGGCAAGCGUUGUCCGGAAUUAUUGGGCGUAAAGCGCGCGCAGGUGGUUUAAUAAGUCUGAUGUGAAAGCCCACGGCUCAACCGUGGAGGGUCAUUGGAAACUGUUAAACUUGAGUGCAGGAGAGAAAAGUGGAACUCCUAGUGUAGCGGUGAAAUGCGUAGAGAUUAGGAGGGACACCAGUGGCGAAGGCGGCUUUUUGGCCUGUAACUGACACUGAGGCGCGAAAGCGUGGGGAGCAAACAGGAUUAGAUACCCUGGUAGUCCACGCCGUAAACGAUGAGUGCUAAGUGUUGGUCUCAUAAGAGAUCAGUGCUGCAGCUAACGCAUUAAGCACUCCGCCUGGGGAGUACGACCGCAAGGUUG